CAGUAGCCACGGGAAUACGUAGGUGGCAAGCGUUGUCCGGAAUUAUUGGGCGUAAAGGGCUCGCAGGCGGUUUCUUAAGUCUGAUGUGAAAGCCCCCGGCUCAACCGGGGAGGGUCAUUGGAAACUGGGAAACUUGAGUGCAGAAGAGGAGAGCGGAAUUCCACGUGUAGCGGUGAAAUGCGUAGAGAUGUGGAGGAACACCAGUGGCGAAGGCGACCCUCUGGUCUGUAACUGACGCUGAGGAGCGAAAGCGUGGGGAGCGAACAGGAUUAGAGACCCCGGUAGUCCUGUCUCUUAUACA
rnacentral:rRNA from 1 species